GGAACUGUUGACUUGGCUCGAGUUUCCAGCUCAGCAGCUGGGAGGGACGCGUGGAGUGGGGAGCAGGGACCUCUGGCUCCUCCCAACCCCCAGUGCCUGUUGUGAGAGCUAGAGAAGACUGCUAGAUGACCGACUGAGUCCCUCCGGGCGCCAUUGAUGUCAGUACGGGCACUGGGGACUCUCUCACGGCCCUUGGGCGACCCCAGCCAGCUGCCUGGCUGCUGGCCUCCUCCCAUACCUGUUUGUGCAAUCUCGGCCUCCUCCUCUACCCACUGCCCCUGGCCGGAAGGUGAUGGGGAAAUGGGUAGCCCUACUCCUCAGCCUGGAAAAGGACGCCCCAGACCCCCAGCAGAAGAAGGAAAGUCCCCCUCCUCUCCGCCUCCCUCAUCGACUCCUGCCUCUUUCUGUUGCUGGUGUCUGCAGUGCAGGUGGAAUUGUGACUGAAGAAGGGGUUCC
rnacentral:lncRNA from 1 species